rnacentral:rRNA from 1 species
GACGAACGCUGGCGGCGUGCUUAACACAUGCAAGUCGAACGGAAAGGCCCUGCUUUUGUGGGGUGCUCGAGUGGCGAACGGGUGAGUAACACGUGAGUAACCUGCCCUUGACUUUGGGAUAACUUCAGGAAACUGGGGCUAAUACCGGAUAGGAGCUCCUGCUGCAUGGUGGGGGUUGGAAAGUUUCGGUGGUUGGGGAUGGACUCGCGGCUUAUCAGCUUGUUGGUGGGGUAGUGGCUUACCAAGGCUUUGACGGGUAGCCGGCCUGAGAGGGUGACCGGCCACAUUGGGGCUGAGAUACGGCCCAGACUCCUACGGGAGGCAGCAGUGGGGAAUAUUGCACAAUGGGCGGAAGCCUGAUGCAGCAACGCCGCGUGCGGGAUGACGGCCUUCGGGUUGUAAACCGCUUUCGCCUGUGACGAAGCGUGAAUGACGGUAAUGGGUAAAGAAGCACCGGCUAACUACGUG